AUGCUGAUCUCGUAGAUCCAACACUUUGCUAGCCAGCAUUAUGGUUACAGUCAGGGAGAGCUGGGUUACUGGGAACUUUCCAGUUUAUGGGACCUGUCUUGCCCUCCUGGUUGGGUUAGUUUCAGUUUCUGCUGAGUGAAUACUGGAAGAUAUGGCUGCGUCAUUGGCCUUGUGUGCUGCUUUGGAGUUUCUGCGGGUCAUGUCUCAGCUGUGCACUCUGACAUCAUUUCCUGCCUGCUACAGAGUACCCCUUUCCCCUGGCAAGAUCUCUCCCUUCUCUUUUGGUAACCCUGCAAUAGAGGUGGGGAGAGAACGAGCAAGGAAAAGACAUUGGAGGAAGGUACACUCAGGUCACAGGUUUCAAGUUGUUCUUCAUAACCAGGAAGUCUAGAGAUUUACUUUGCUUUUUUUAAUGAAAGUUGAGAUACUCGGCUCAUUAUGGCAUACAGCAAACAGGAAAACGUAAAAAAAAGAGCUCUCCAACCUGGAGACUCUCAUAAAUAACCAACCUUCCAUACAAACGGACUUUACUAAAAUAAGACAGGAGAUCUACAUUACACACUUCACCUCUCUACAAAGGAAAAAGGACCAUAAGCUGUCUAAAAUCCUACCUGCCACAUGGGGCCACAACAGUGAUACCCCUAACUCACCCAGCAGUAUCGUCAAUCUAUCCAGCUACACACUCAACCUGGCAGAAGAGUCUGUCCUAUCUCGGGGACUCUCUGUUUGCCCCGCCACCCCCAUAAACAUGAUAGUUCUGCGGUGAUCUGGAAGCCUACUUUUCCCGUCUCCGACUCAAAGAAUACUUUCAAGAUAACACUGAACAGCACACUGAUACACAGAUACCCUCCCACCAACAGCACAAGAAAAAGAACUCCACGUGGACUCCUCCUGAGGGUUGUAAUGACGGUCUGGACCUAUACAUAGAAUGCUUCCACCGACGUGCACAGGCAGAAAUUGUGGAAAAACAACAUCGCUUGCCUCAUAACCUAAGUUGUGCAGAACACAAUGCCAUCCACAGCCUCAGAAACAACCCUGACAUUAUAAUCAAAGAGGCUGAUAAAGGAGGUGCUGUUGUCAUCAUGAACAGGUCUGACUACCAAAAGGAGGCUGCCAGACAACUCUCCAAUACCAAAUUCUACAGGCCACUUUCCUCAGAUCCCACUGAGGAAUACACUAAGAAACUGCACCGUCUACUCAGGACACUCCCUACACUAACACAGGAACAACAUACUCUUAGAGUCCCGACUGGGGUUAUUCUAUCAACUACCCAACAUCCACAAACCCGGAAAUCCUGGACGCCCCAUCAUCUUGGGCAUUGGCACUCUCACUGAAGGACUGUCCGGAUAUGUGGACUCUCUACUCAGACCUUACUCCACCAGUACUCCUAGCUAUCUCCGUGACACCACUGAUUUCCUGAGAAAAUUACAAUGCAUUGGUGAUCUUCCAGAAAAUACCAUCCUAGCCACCAUGGAUGCGGAGGCUCUCUACACAAACAUCCCACACACAGAUGGAAUACAAGCUGUCAGGAAUGGUAUCCCUGAUGAUGUCACAGCACAACUGGUUGCUGAGCUCUGUGACUUUAUCCUCAUGCACAAUUAUUUCAAAUUUGGUGACAAUAUAUACGUCCAGACCAGUGGCACUGCUAUGGGCACCCGGAUGGCCCCACAAUAUGCCAACAUUUUUAUGGCUGACCUGGAACAACGCUUCCUCAGCUUUCAUCCACUCACACCCCUUCUCUACCUAUGCUACAUUGAUGACAUCUUCAUCAUCUGGACCCAUAAGAAGAAACCCUGGAAGAAUUCCACCACGAUUUCAACAGCUUCCACCCCACCAUCAGCCUCAGCCCGGACCAAUCUACUCGGGAGGUCCAAUUCCUAGACACCACGGUGCAAAUAAGUGACGGUCACGUUAACACCACCCUAUACCAAAAACCCACCGACUGCUAUGCCUACCUUCAUGCCUCCAGCUUCCAUCCCAGACACAGCACACGAUCCAUUGUCUACAGCCAAGCGCUGAGAUACAACCGCAUUUGCUCCAACCUCUCAGACAGAGACCAACACCUGCAAGAUCUUCACCAAGCAUUCUCAAAACUAUGAUACCCACACGAGGAAAUAAGGAAGUAGAUCACAGAGCCAGACAUGUACUCAGAAGGCUCCUGCUGUGAGACAAGCCCAAGAAAGAAACCAACAGAACUCCACUGGCCAUCACGUACAGUCCUCAGCUAAAACCUCUCCAAUGCAUCAUCAGUGAUCUACAACCCAUCCUAGACAACGAUCCCAAACUUUCAAAGACCUUGGGAGACAGGCCAGUCCUCGCCCACAGACAACUCGCCAACCUGAAACAUAUUCUCACCAGCAAUGGCACACCGCACCAUAGUAACUCUAACUCAGGAACCAAUCCAUGCAACAACCUCGAUGCCAACUCUGCCCACAUAUCUACAUCAGCAACACCAUCACAGGACCUAACUGGAUCAGCCACACCAUCACCGGUUCAUUCACCUGCACGUCCACAAAUGUAAUAUACGCCAUCAUGUGCCAGCAAUGCCCCUCUGCUAUGUACCUCGGCCAAACUGGACAGUCCCUACGUACAAGGAUAAACGGAUACAAAUCAGAUAUUAGGAAUGGCAAUAUACAAAAACCUGUAGGAGAACACUUCAACCUCCCUGGACACACAAUAGCAGAUUUCAAGGUAGCCAUCCUGCAGCAAAAAAACUUCAGGACCAGACUUCAAAGAGAAACUGCUGAGCUUCAGUUCAUUUGCAAAUUUGACACCAUCAGCUCAGGAUUAAACAAAGACUGUGAAUGGCUAGCCAAUGGCAAAAGCAGUUUCUCCUCCCUUCGUGUUCACACCUCAACUGCUAGAAGAGGGCCUCAUCCUCCCUGAUUGAACUAACCUUGUUAUCCCUAGCUUGAUUCUUGCUUGCAUAUUUAUACCUGCCUCUGGAAAUUUCUACUACAUGUAUCUGACAAAGUGGGUAUUCACCCACGAAAGCUUAUGCUCCAAUACGUCUGUUAGUCUAUAAGAUGGCACAGGACUCUGCCGCUUUUACAGAUCCAGACUCACACGGCUACCCCUCCGAUACUCGGCUCAUUAUCUGACUCCAGCAGCUGGGGCUUCAAGAACAAAGCACAAAAUAUUGCAGGAUUUGCAAUACAAUCCGGAGAGCUGGCAACUCUGAAGCGAAAGAUGCAGCCACAACUUAAUAGGUUUAUUUGUGUUUUUCUCCAAGAAGCUGGUAAAGAAAUAUCCCCUCUGCUUUUUAAAUUUAUUUUAAGUAUUUUAUCAUUUUAAUUGUGCAGCAAUUCAAAUUACUUAUACUAAAAAAUUGCUAAGAGUGAAUAGAAGAAGGGGGCAUGUGUGCAGCAGAUACUGUAUAUCCUGAUUGCACAAUGCAGCCUAUCCCUCAGCCUUUGUGGCUUUCUGUACAUCUGGCCUUGUUAGGCAUUUAAGCACUGGGGUUAAUGUCCUCUUCAUACAUCGUCCUCCAAAGAAUAUAGGAGCUUUUGUCAGUGACUUUGUAGAACGCUUGGGUUUGUUUUUAGGAGCCUAAAGGUUUCCCAUGUCUAUAACUUUUAUUAUAACAUGUUUUUUAAUUAUACACUUGUUAAUUGUGUCAUCUUCUGCCAUCGCUAAAUUCUGUCCUGCACGUUCUGUAAGUCAUGCACGUGCCUGCUGUGAUCUUUUCACCAAAUAUUUUAACUGGGGGAAGCUUCCUGUACUAAACUGUGUGGUAAGUCAGAUGGUUAGACAGAGAGUCUUGGGGCUGGUGGUCACCCUUAGAUGUUCCUCCUAGAGAACAUGCUUUCUGUCUUAGACAAUUACUGGAUUCAGAAUACUUUACUCUCUGAUGCACAUAAAUUUGGAUCUGUUGUGCUCAGAAAGGCACAGGGUCCCUAAAUAUGGCACAAAGUCUUAAUAUAACAACACUAUCUCUACAGUGGACACCCUGGCUACACUUUAUAUCUGCCCCUUGCUGAUAAGGUACCACUGAUAACUGUGAAGUAAGGAGAGCCACCAGUGCACCCUCAGCUCCCAUUGGCUUCAGUGGGAUUUGAGGCUGCUCAGCACAUUCCAGAAGCUGCUUAGCACCUCUUAGGGUUGGGCCCUCCUCCUAGCAGCACCAUGGCACUUUUUAAAUGUAUGGUUUAAAUAAGCCCAAAAAAAUAGUAAUUCUCGCAGGUGGAUCCCCGCUGUCAGAUCUGACCUGAAUGAGCCUACACAACAAGCUGCAUAGAACCAAACUGAUCUAUGUUAGAACUGAUGGGAGGUGAGCAUUUCGUUCUAGUGAAUCUAGUUACUUCAAAUUUGAGACUUGGCCCUUCAGGCUAUGCUUUUCUCCAAAAGUCAGAUAGUUAUUUGCAAUCGCUGCAAUAUUAACAAAAUAACUUUUCUAAAAGGUACUGUGAGAAGCCUUACAUUUUGUUCAGUGUCUUGUGUCUUUAAGCCCUGUAUGGCAUCUUUAGUUGCCAUACACACAUUUUCUGGCACCGCCCCCAAAUCCAGCCAUUUUGAUCAGACUUUACAAAACCUUUGACAGACCAGAGAGAUUAAUAAAAAAUCACAGCCCAAUCCUCAGCUGGUGUAAAUCAGUGCAGCUCCACUGACCUCAGACCGCUACAUUCCCGGAGAUAGACCCCAAACCUACAAAAAAGUAACAAAAGAUAUUAAAUGAAGCAGCAAAGACUGUGACUCGUAGGAAAACUACAACAAAAUAUGAAAAGAGGAAAGGGAAUAGAUCUCUUCUUAAAUCAGACAGUCUGUAACUUGUUUGAAGAGCUAACACACAGGAAACAAGUGGCAGUGCCUUAGGGCUAAAGCUCCACUGUACUGUCUCUCAAAAAAUAUCAAUCACUGAAUAAAUUCAACCUGAACACAAUGCUGUA